UAGGGGAAGUCCGUAGUCGUUACUCCAACUGUUUACAGAGGAGGGCGCCGAAGGUGGGGCUAGUGACUGGGGUGAAGUCGUAACAAGGUAGCCGUACCGGAAGGUGUGGCUGGAUCACCUCCUUU
rnacentral:rRNA from 1 species